rnacentral:rRNA from 1 species
GAUGAACGCUGGCGGCGUGCCUAAUACAUGCAAGUCGAGCGAACAGACGAGGAGCUUGCUCCUCUGACGUUAGCGGCGGACGGGUGAGUAACACGUGGAUAACCUACCUAUAAGACUGGGAUAACUUCGGGAAACCGGAGCUAAUACCGGAUAAUAUAUUGAACCGCAUGGUUCAAUAGUGAAAGACGGUUUUGCUGUCACUUAUAGAUGGAUCCGCGCCGCAUUAGCUAGUUGGUAAGGUAACGGCUUACCAAGGCGACGAUGCGUAGCCGACCUGAGAGGGUGAUCGGCCACACUGGAACUGAGACACGGUCCAGACUACUACGGGAGGCAGCAGUAGGGAAUCUUCCGCAAUGGGCGAAAGCCUGACGGAGCAACGCCGAGUGAGUGAUGAAGGUCUUCGGAUCGUAAAACUCUGUUAUUAGGGAAGAACAAAUGUGUAAGUAACUAUGCACGUCUUGACGGUACCUAAUCAGAAAGCCACGGCUAACUACGUG